GACGAACGCUGGCGGCGUGCUUAACACAUGCAAGUCGAACGGAAAGGCCCUGCUUUUGUGGGGUGCUCGAGUGGCGAACGGGUGAGUAACACGUGAGUAACCUGCCCUUGACUUUGGGAUAACUUCAGGAAACUGGGGCUAAUACCGGAUAGGAGCUCCUGCUGCAUGGUGGGGGUUGGAAAGUUUCGGCGGUUGGGGAUGGACUCGCGGCUUAUCAGCUUGUUGGUGGGGUAGUGGCUUACCAAGGCUUUGACGGGUAGCCGGCCUGAGAGGGUGACCGGCAACAGUGGGACUGAGAUACGGCCCAGACUCCUACGGGAAGCAGCAGUGGGGAAUAUAGCACGAUGGGCGGAAGCCUGAUGCAGCAACGCCGCGUGCGGGAUGACGGCCUUCGGGUUGUAAACCGCUUUCGCCUGUGACGAAGCGUGAGUGACGGUAAUGGGUAAAGAAGCACCGGCUAACUACGUG
rnacentral:rRNA from 1 species